CGCCUCUUGCAUAAUAAGUAUAAGAGGUACUGCCUGCCCAGUGACAUUGUUUAACGGCCGCGGUAUUAUGACCGUGCAAAGGUAGCGUAAUCACUUGUCUUUUAAAUAAAGACCAGUAUGAAUGGCAAAACGAGGGCUCAGCUGUCUCUUUAAAUUAAUCAGUGAAAUUGAUCUUCCCGUGCAGAAGCGAGAAUAAACAUAUAAGACGAGAAGACCCUGUGGAGCUUCAAACUAAAAUUAAUCACAUACUAUAUUACCCAAAAGGAAAAAAAUUAAAUAAUGAAAAUAAUCUAUGUUUUUGGUUGGGGCGACCACGGAAGAAAACAAAUCUUCCGAGAAAAAAAAUUAAGAGAUACUUCUCUAAUAAUAAAAUAUUUAAUAAUGAUCCAAUAUUUGAUCAACGAACCAAGUUACCCCAGGGAUAACAGCGCAAUCCUUUCCUAGAGUUCAUAUCGACGAAUGGGUUUACGACCUCGAUGUUGGAUCAGGACACCCUAAUGAUGCAGCCGUUAUUAAAGGUUCGUUUGUUCAACGAUUAAAGUCCU
rnacentral:rRNA from 1 species